ACUUGUCUGCCGUUCGAACAACAAGAACGAACUCUACGUAAUGCCGGGAUACCCGUGGCAGCGAUAGCUGUUUGCCUGUUCGAAAACUUUUUGGGAGGUGUGAGAUGCGGC
rnacentral:sRNA from 15 species